rnacentral:lncRNA from 1 species
UUCGGGAAGUUUUGCAUAAGAGGUACCAUGACCUAUAUAAUCUUGCUGUUGAACUGCAAGUCCCACAUGAAAACAACCCAGAAGCAGUAGAUCAAUCGUUAUCCAAUGAUGCGACUGACAAAGUUGAAGCGACCUUUGGUGGAAUUGCAAAAGGUGUUGAAGCUGUUUUGCAGAGGUUAAAGAUCAUUGAACAGGAAAUCAAAGACUUAAAGCAGGAGAUAAAAGGCCUAAGAUAUUAUGAGCACAGACUCCUUCUCGAGCUUAAUCGCAAAGUGAACUACCUAGUGAAUUACAAUGUUGAAAUUGAAGAGAGGAGAGUACCUAACAUGUUCUAUUUUGUUAGAACAGAAAACUAUUCAAGAAGGUUGAUUACUAACCUGAUUUCUGGCAUGAAUGCUCUCCGACUCCACAUGUUAUGUGAGUUCCGAAGGGAAAUGCAUGUUGUUGAAGAUCAGAUAGGCUGUGAAGUAAUGCGGAUUGACAAUAU